AGAAAUUAGCCGGCUAUUCAGAACUAUCCUAAAAAACUUCGAUAUUCUGUUCACUUCCGGUUGUUAGACCCACAUCCACGUCUCGCCUCAUUUACAAUACAGCUUCACAGCCAGCCAGCUUAAGAGCCUCAUCAAAGGGAUCAUUUACUAUGACGAACCAGUGACGGUUAUUAUGCCGGCUGAUCGCAAAUAUAAUGUGUGGGCCCUACCCGAUGUGGGAGAGAUUGAGGUUUGGAAAAAAGGUGUUAGUGACGUGACGGCGAAAACAUGGGCCCCGCUCUUCGCCAAAAUCGACGAGCCGAUAAUGAAGCAAAGCAUCCUGCUUGGUCUAUGCGAAUCACGAUAUUUGUCCUGGAAUUUCCAGAAUAUUGGAAGUGCAUGUGGUACGAUUGAAUUCCGUCGCCCACCAGCUCUCAAGUCUGCCACAGAGGCGAUUCAUUGGAUCUCCUUCACGCUGGGGUUCGUCGCUCAUUCGAUGCAGAGGG
rnacentral:sRNA from 1 species